rnacentral:rRNA from 1 species
GACAGAGGAUGCAAGCGUUAUCCGGAAUGAUUGGGCGUAAAGCGUCUGUAGGUGGCUUUUAAGUCCGCCGUCAAAUCCCAGGGCUCAACCCUGGACAGGCGGUGGAAACUACCAAGCUGGAGUACGGUAGGGCAGAGGAAUUUCCGGUGGAGCGGUGAAAUGCGUAGAGAUCGGAAAGAACACCAACGGCGAAAGCACUCUGCUGGCCGACACUGACACUGAGAGACGAAAGCUAGGGAGCGAAUGGG